GCCUCAAUAGCUAAACCGGCAGAACAACCGCCUUGUAAGCAGUACGUCGGGGGUUCGAUUCCAACAAGGGGCACCA
rnacentral:tRNA from 1 species